GACGAACGCUGGCGGCGUGCUUAACACAUGCAAGUCGAGCGGAGCGGCGAACGGGUGAGUAACGCGGUAGUAACUGCCCCCCUCUCUGGGAUAACAGUUGGAAACGGCUGCUACUACCUGCUAGUGGGGGAUGACUCGCGUCCUAUCAGCUUGUUGGUGGGGUAGUGGCCUACCAAGGCGACGACGGGUAGCCGGCCUGAGAGGGCGACCGGCCACAUUGGGCUGAGCGACGGACCAAACGCCUACGGGAGGCAGCAGGGGGGAAUAUUGCACAAGGGUGGAACCCGUGAUGCAGCAACGCCGCGUGCGGGAUGACGGCCUACUGGUUGUAAACCGCUUUAGGCUAUGACGCGGUAGUGGCAGAAGAAGCACCGGCUAACUACGUGCCAGCAGCCGCGGUAAUAC
rnacentral:rRNA from 1 species